AUUGAACGCUGGCGGCAGGCUUAACACAUGCAAGUCGAGUGGAGAGAGGUAGCUUGCUACCGAUCUUAGCGGCGGACGGGUGAGUAAUGCUUAGGAAUCUGCCUAUUAGUGCGGGACAACAUGUCGAAAGGAAUGCUAAUACCGCAUACGUCCUCCGGGAGAAAGCAGGGGAUCUUCGGACCUUGCGCUAAUAGCUGAGCCUAAGUAGGAUUAGCUAGUUGGUGGGGUAGAGGCCUACCAAGGCGACGAUCUGUGGCGGGUCUGAGAGGAUGAUCCGCCACACUGGGACAGAGACACGGCCAAGACUCCUACGGGAGGAAGCAGUGGGGAAUAUUGGACAAUGGCGCAAGCCUGAUCAAGCCAUGCCGCGUGUGUGAAGAAGGCCUUAUGGUUGUAAAGCACUUUAAGCGAGGAGGAGGCUACUUUAGUUAAUACCUAGAGAUAGUGGACGUUACUCGCAGAAUAAGCACCGGCUAACUCUGUGCCAGCCGCCGCCGUAAUAC
rnacentral:rRNA from 1 species